UAGACAUAACAAAAAUGAGAAAGGAAGAGAUUUACAGCAGCAGAAACCCAUUGAGGUUUAGAUGAGCAAUGAAUGAACUUUCAGAUUGUUCAACUUUGCUUUUCUUAUUUUUCUCAGUAACUCUUACUGAGCUACUUGCCUGAGGCAGAGCAAAGGAGACCAAAACUAUGGGUCCAUGUGGGAAAGCCUGACAACAGAAACUUGGUGGACAUGAACUGUGAGCAUUAGAGAGGAAAAGUUUGGCAUAUAUGGAUGCUCAGCACUCUGACUGUUGCUAAGAGCAGCUCAACUAUUCUCCUGCUUAAGCUGAUUGCACCACGUCUCUGUUCCACAGCACGCUGCCUUGCUUCAUACACCUGCAGAGAUAAAGGCAGGGGAGGCUGUUCUAGAAGUCAACGAAGUGAAAUAAUUCUUGACACAAUCAUUCUUGAUGCUUGUAAUUCACAGAAAAGUCCUAUUUACUUGAAUAAUGCAGGAAUCAGGUAAGAAAUGGGAAUGUCUUUGUUCAGCACUUCACAUACCUUCCCACUCAGUCUUCAGCCUAUUUUCCUUUUUGCUUAGCUCUGUUCAAGCUUUCAGCUCAAGUGCUUACCUUGCAUUUGUACCUUUCUGUCUUUUUCCUGCUUCAUCACUGGUAUUUUCUUUUGCUCCUUUUACUACUUAGCUGUCUUUUCAAUUGUCUUUCACAAAAAUUGACAUGGAAAAAGAAAAGGCAGAGAAACUCCUCUACCUCAGACAGUUUUUCUCCUGAGAGUGAAGUGUACCAGUGAGAAGUCUGUUAUUGUUCCAGAUUAUCUGGCUCUACAGGAGAACUUAAUUGUUCCUUUUUAUGACUAUUUCAAGUGAAGGAUGUGCCAUACUGUUAUGACACAUAGAAGGUAAAGUCUAAAUCCAUAUAGUUUGCCUAAAAAAAAAAAUCGAAGGUGAAAAUAUACACCACUCUGCUCUGUGUAAGGGUUUGUUCCAAGACAGACAGUA